rnacentral:rRNA from 1 species
GAUGAACGCUGGCGGCGUGCUUAACACAUGCAAGUCGAACGAAGCACUUAUGACAGAUUCUUCGGAUGAUGGAUUAAGUGACUGAGUGGCGGACGGGUGAGUAACGCGUGGGUAACCUGCCUCAUACAGGGGGAUAACAGUUAGAAAUGACUGCUAAUACCGCAUAAGCGCACAGGACCGCAUGGUCUGGUGUGAAAAACUCCGGUGGUAUGAGAUGGACCCGCGUCUGAUUAGCUAGUUGGUGGGGUAACGGCCUACCAAGGCGACGAUCAGUAGCCGGCCUGAGAGGGUGAACGGCCACAUUGGGACUGAGACACGGCCCAAACUCCUACGGGAGGCAGCAGUGGGGAAUAUUGCACAAUGGGGGAAACCCUGAUGCAGCGACGCCGCGUGAGUGAAGAAGUAUUUCGGUAUGUAAAGCUCUAUCAGCAGGGAAGAAAAUGACGGUACCUGACUAAGAAGCACCGGCUAAAUACGUGCCAGCCGCCGCCGUAACAC